UAAAAGACGAGUGAGAACUAACAAGGAGAA
rnacentral:piRNA from 1 species